AGAACGAACGCUGGCGGCACGCCUAACACAUGCAAGUCGAGCGCCCAGCAAUGGGAGCGGCGGACGGGUGAGUAACACGUGGGAAUAUGCCUUUCGGUACGGAACAACUCAGGGAAACUUGAGCUAAUGCCGUAUACGCCCUUACGGGGAAAGAUUUAUCGCCGAAAGAUUAGCCCGCGUCUGAUUAGCUAGUUGGUGAGGUAAUGGCUCACCAAGGCUUCGAUCAGUAGCUGGUUUGAGAGAACGACCAGCCACACUGGGACUGAGACACGGCCCAGACUCCUACGGGAGGCAGCAGUGGGGAAUCUUGGACAAUGGGGGAAACCCUGAUCCAGCGAUGCCGCGUGAGUGAUGACGGCCUUAGGGUUGUAAAGCUCUUUCGCUAGGGACGAUAAUGACGGUACCUAGACAAGAAGCCCCGGCUAACUUCGUGCCAGCAGCCGC
rnacentral:rRNA from 1 species